CUGCAGACCUACCAGCAAGACUAAGCCCACACUGGCUCUGUUCUUUCCUUAAGUGUCUGCAAGAGAGACGUGAGGCUGUUUGAGGCCCUGCUUGUGACUAUUAGCAGGCAGGGUUAUAGGUACACCUCCAACAAGA